rnacentral:lncRNA from 1 species
AGAGAAGGAAUAGGGUGCGGAGUGGCUGAGUUGGGGAAGUUACAGGCUCCAAGGGGGCACCAGGAACUGCAAGAUGCCUGAACAGCAAAACCUCAGUGCAGCCAAGAAAUCCCCGAACACCGCCUUGUAUUUGAGUACAGAUAUGUUUUUUUCUUUUCAUUUCUAUUCUUUUCUCUUUUUUUAAACCUUUCUUUCAUUCUUCUCUGCCUUCUUUCUUUCUGUCGUAUUGGGGAUUGAACCUAGGGGCACUCUUCCACUGAGCCACAGCCCCAGUCCUUCUUAUUUUUCAAUUUUUGAGACAAGAUCUUGCUAAGUUGCUUACGCUGGCCUUGAACUUGCAGUCCUUCUGUCUCAGCCUCCCAAAGCUCUGGGAUCACAGGCCUGCACCACAGUGUGCAGCUCGCCUGUUCUUUUCAGCUCUGGUUGCAACAGAAGUGACUUCCAGGAGUGGGGUGGUUCCAUAGGAGUGACUUCUGUCACUGGGACCCACUGUAGUAUCAUCGGAGGUGGAAAGCAGUGAGGGCUCCUAUUCUGGGGUGGAAAACUCGAGCCAGUGUCUGUAGAGUGAAGCAGUUAUGAAGCUGUUGCCUGAGAUGCCCUGAGAUAAGUUACAGCCCCCCAGAGGAUGAGGCUUUGCCGACAUGGUUUCGGAGCAGGAGUAGAGCAGCUGUAAGAAGCGCAACGAUUCUGGUCCCAUUAUGUGACUAGAUGCCAGUUGACAAAAGCAGCUGGUCAUCAGGCACCGUCACUGUUGACACAUUUGUAUAGCUCAUGGUUCCGCC